rnacentral:rRNA from 1 species
CCGCUCGCCGGAAGACCAAGGGUUCCUGUCCAACGUUAAUCGGGGCAGGGUGAGUCGACCCCUAAGGCGAGGCCGAAAGGCGUAGUCGAUGGGAAACAGGUUAAUAUUCCUGUACUUGGUGUUACUGCGAAGGGGGGACGGAGAAGGCUAUGUUAGCCGGGCGACGGUUGUCCCGGUUUAAGCAUGUAGGCUGGUUAUCCAGGCAAAUCCGGAUAACCAAGGCUGAGGUGUGAUGACGAGGCACUACGGUGCUGAAGUAACAAAUGCCCUGCUUCCAGGAAAAGCCUCUAAGCAUCAGGUAACAUCAAAUCGUACCCCAAACCGACACAGGUGGUCAGGUAGAGAAUACCAAGGCGCUUGAGAGAACUCGGGUGAAGGAACUAGGCAAAAUGGUGCCGUAACUUCGGGAGAAGGCACGCUGGUG